rnacentral:rRNA from 1 species
GACGAACGCUGGCGGCGUGCUUAACACAUGCAAGUCGAACGGAAAGGCCCUGCUUUUGUGGGGUGCUCGAGUGGCGAACGGGUGAGUAACACGUGAGUAACCUGCCCUUGACUUUGGGAUAACUUCAGGAAACUGGGGCUAAUACCGGAUAGGAGCUCCUGCUGCAUGGUGGGGGUUGGAAAGUUUCGGCGGUGGGGGAUGGACUCGCGGCUUAUCAGCUUGUUGGUGGGGUAGUGGCUGACCAAGGCUUUGACGGGUAGCCGGCCUGAGAGGGUGACCGGCCACAUUGGGACUGCGAUACGGCCCAGACUCCUACGGGAGGCAGCAGUGGGGAAUAUUGCACAAUGGGCGGAAGCCUGAUGCAGCAACGCCGCGUGCGGGAUGACGGCCUUCGGGUUGUAAACCGCUUUCGCCUGUGACGAAGCGUGAGUGACGGUAAUGGGUAAAGAAGCACCGGCUAACUACGUG